UACGUAGGUGGCGAGCGUUGUCCGGAUUUACUGGGCGUAAAGGGCGUGCAGGCGGUUUGUUAAGUGCAGGGUGAAAGCUCCCGGCUCAACUGGGAGAGGUCCUUGCAUACUGGCGAACUCGAGGGAGGCAGAGGAAAGUGGAAUUCCCGGUGUAGUGGUGAUAUGCGUAGAUAUCGGGAGGAACACCUGUGGCGAAGGCGGCUACCUGGCCCAAUACUGACACUCAGGUGCGACAGCGUGGGGAGCAAACAGG
rnacentral:rRNA from 1 species